ACCACGGUCGUACAAUGGCAGUACGGCAUUGAAGCGCGAGAAGGUGCGCGGCGGAGAGAGAUCCGCAAGCGGCUGAUAAGAUGCAAUGGCAGUUCGAUUCUGCCCCGUGGUUCCA
rnacentral:tRNA from 1 species